CAAUGAGGCUGUUUCUGGGAGGGAAAAAAACAAAGAGCUGGAGGCUGGUACCAAGGGCCGCAGGGAUGAAAGCCAUGCCUGGACACAAACCCCGCUGACCCUACUGGACACAACAAGGCAGGGCUCCCCCUCUGGAUGGCAGCUUCUCUCUACGACCCUAUAGGGCAAAGGGGAGCUGGGCUGUGUGGGUCUCUGUCCAGAGGUCACCAAGCCCAAGGAUCACGCUCAAUGCCCAAGCAAAAUAAAUUUUUGGAAGAGCAAGAGUGCCAUCUUGCGGAGCUUUGGUAUUGGCUGCUUUUAAAUCUGCUGUAACACUACUGCGGAGUGGUUUAUCUGUGCGCUUGUUUGCAUCAAAAGGCCUGUGCAUUUGACUUUGUAAGUACAAAGGAAGUCCUCAAGAAAUAUCAGGGAAAUUUCUUCACAGUAAAGUUCCGAUUUAGAGUUAAAUAUCUGCUGCUUAAGAGGCAGUGUGGGAGGAUGUGGGAUCGAUUACAGAGUGGGAAGUCCUCCUUUUCAGUGUGGAACAUUUCUCUUUACCUGUCCAGAGCUCAGCACGUGCAUUGGUUGAUGUUGGAUCUUUAUUACUUUAGGAUGAAUUUGGCAGGGAAGUUGAAGACUGGAGAAGUCCUCAAGGCACUGCCAGCACUGCAGCAUAAGCCCUGCAGUUUUUCUUUUCCUCUUGACUCCCUGCUUAUGCAUCACAUUGGCAGAGGUGAUAGGCAGCAGGAAUGGGGGGUACUUAUGGGCUCAGAAAAAGAAACCCUAGAAUUCAAAGGCUGGAAGCAGAGGAUCUUGCCGGCUCCUCUCUGCUCACACAAAUCCCUAGACUCACAAUAAUGAACAUCUAAAACAUGCCCAAGGAGGAGAAAGAAUAAAGUAUAUAAAUCAAAUUAAAAUCUUUUCCAUAGCUGUGUUUAUCAGGUUCCCUUGACUAUAACAAAAUAAUUGAGGCAAUAAACUGAAAAGAAGGAAGGUUUUAUUUGGGCUCAUGGUUUUGGAGAUUUCAGUCUCUGGUUGCUUGGCCCUAUUGCUUUGGGCCUGCAGUGAGGCAGAACAUCACACUGGGAGAGCGUGGUAGAGGAAACUGCCCACUUCAUGGGAG
ensembl:lncRNA